GGAGCUUGCUCCUUUGACGUUAGCGGCGGACGGGUGAGUAACACGUGGGCAACCUACCUUAUAGUUUGGGAUAACUCCGGGAAACCGGGGCUAAUACCGAAUAAUCUGUUUCACCUCAUGGUGAAAUAUUGAAAGACGGUUUCGGCUGUCGCUAUAGGAUGGGCCCGCGGCGCAUUAGCUAGUUGGUGAGGUAACGGCUCACCAAGGCGACGAUGCGUAGCCGACCUGAGAGGGUGAUCGGCCACACUGGGACUGAGACACGGCCCAGACUCCUACGGGAGGCAGCAGUAGGGAAUCUUCCACAAUGGGCGAAAGCCUGAUGGAGCAACGCCGCGUGAGUGAAGAAGGAUUUCGGUUCGUAAAACUCUGUUGUAAGGGAAGAACAAGUACAGUAGUAACUGGCUGUACCUUGACGGUACCUUAUUAGAAAGCCACGGCUAACUACGUGCCAGCAGCCGCGGUAAUACGUAGGUGGCAAGCGUUGUCCGGAAUUAUUGGGCGUAAAGCGCGCGCAGGUGGUUUCUUAAGUCUGAUGUGAAAGCCCACGGCUCAACCGUGGA
rnacentral:rRNA from 1 species